UUUUCCAUCAUUCGGGCUUUCUUUCAUCGAGACUCUUGUCAACUUUCUCCGGCCCAAUUAUCUAACAGAAGUUCAGCCCAAGUCCCCAGGUUUUUCCGCCGGAAGAGACGCACUCUCCCUCUUCUCUUCCCGCCAUUUCAAAAUCCCAUCCCCGAUCCUGCGGUCAUGACCAUCGGCUCCAAUUACCCUUGGAAUCGGCUUUCGUAAGCAUCGUUUUGUGAUUUGCUUCAACUCUUAUUUGUCAAGCUUUCUAUCAAUAUUGAUUGUAAUGCGUCUUCCUCCAUUGGGGUUAGGGUUUAUUACCUUGGUGAGGUUAAUUUGAUCUGUUAUUUAUUUUACAUGAUUAUCCUGAUUAUCAUGUUAUGUUUAUGAUUAAUUAGAUUUGGAAAUAUGAAACAAUGCAAUUUUUAAUUGGAGAAUGGAUAUAGCUCUCAAAUAUGACCAGAGCCAAAAUCGAAACGCAAGGGAGGACAUGGUUACCGAUGAGUGUAAACCUGACAAUUUGAUAGUGUUUCCCGUGACAGUCAUUGCUUAACUUUGUCUCGCAUAAGAAUUGUUGUACUUAACCCAAUAAAAGUCUUAAUUUUAAGGUGCAAAAUGUGCCAAGUUCAACCUUAUAACUCUGAUCAAAGUUACGAUAUUCCUCUUAGAAUGCAUACUGGCCAUAAAUUUCCCAGUCCCCCUCCCCCCAACUCCGAUGGAGAAGCAGCUUGUUUCUUAUAUUGUAAGGUACUGCUGCUCCAUAGCUGAUGUUUAAGUGGACUGCUGGCCAACAAUGACAGUUGCUAUCAAAGGGAUCGAUACUUCCCUCAGAAGUUGGGUUGAUAUUUGUUCUCUUCCUUGGAGAAAAGUGGGGGAGAAAGACUAAUUGGUAUCUGAUCUUCUAUGUUCAAAUAGUCAGGUGGGUAUCAGAUCUUACACGGAUUGUAUUUUAGAUGAGCACAGUAGGAGCGGCUUCUUAGCUCUUUUUAAACAGUUAAAUCUUAGAGGGGUUAUAUAUAGAGAUAUGAUACUAGAAA